GCGAUGGAGUAAAGUGAGCUCGGUUUAUCACGUGCACCUAGUCUUCUUUGUCGUCCGUCCCCUACAGUAGGUGUUUGCAUCAGUUAAACAUCAAGCCAACAAAAGCCAUUCUUCACACUAAGGAGUAAAGUAGGCAGUAUAUUGUGUCACUAGCUCACAACCCAGAGAAAUUUCUUGACCUAUUGCACAAUGCAGAGGCAAUUAAACGUCUACGAGUCGUCUUUCGAAUUAUAUAAAUGGCAAAGACUGCAGCAAUACUCUUAUUAGUAAGUACAGCGAGUCAAAGAACCCAUAAAAAAUAAGUUUCUGUUAAAAGAAAUUACGAGAUGACACAUGUAAAGAUGAAAAAUUAUAUGUUUUAUCCGAUAUAUACAUAGUAUUCAUCAUUAAUACAGCGAGCAAGAUGAGAUAAUAAUUUAAGAAGGUUUUUGUUUGAUAAAAUAGGACCUGUGGAGAAGAAAGAAAAUAAAAGCCAUUUCUGAGGAGACAAGUUAUUAUAUGAAACUAAAAGUAUUUUGAGAAUUAUGUCCGAGAUUAUCACUAGGAAGGACGGUGGACAAUACGGCAGAGUUGUGGACCAUGAAUGACAGACAGUUGUCCGGUCCAUCGCAGUAUAACGGAGAAAGAAACAAUGAGGGUUAUCCCAUCCCGCUGGUCGGUUAGAGUAGCCAGGAGGAAAAACCUUCGACCUAAUCCGAACGAUGGAGUGGUAUGUCAGGCGGAAGACUGCCGCCAACGACCUUAUGGAUAUCCCAUAAAAUCACAACGAUGUACGCAGUGUAAUCCCUGUAAUACUGUUCAGGAUGACAUACAGUGUCUAGCCGGUAAGCUGGCUGGCUUUACCAAGUCGGGCCAUUGGUCCCGUUACAGAAGAACUCCAACUCGACAUAUUAGCCGUAUUUCUGGCAGAAAACUGUGCGAUAUUUAAACAACCGGACCGCCAUAUCCUUCAUUCACCUUCGCUCCACUUUAAGUCCGUAUCGGACUCCUUCUCCCUUUAAUGCUAUACUUAUUGUCUAAAUGACCUGCGACCAAUCGACCUUCUCUGAUUCCACCUUUAAAAUUAAUACUUCGUUCGUGAUCGAUGAGAUUCUUGACAUUGUUUUUUUUUUUGUUUUUUUUUUACUUUAAGAGGAAGUUUGUCCUUAAAUUGGAGGCACUAUUAUAUAAAACUAUCACCUUUUUUAGUUUUCAUGAUACAAGAUGUAUGAUGGGUGCCGUCGGAUCCCACAACGUUUAUUCAUUAUAGAAUCGGAUGAGAGUAAACAUUAGCGAUUCCUUUACCUAAGAGACAAGAUCAUUUUCCUAUUUAUGAACUUAUUAAGCUUCGGAUCAGAGUGUUACGGGUUAAAUAUUGUAAUAGCAGGUAUUAAUGCAAAUAUCGUUUGUCAGACGCUCGACGUCACUCGAUACGGACCAAUGAGGCAAAUGCUAUUAAAAAUGAGGAUUUGGGAUACAAUUCUCCAAAGCCUCCCACCCGCGUGGAUAUUUACGAGUGAGAUCACACCAACUAGGUCUAAAGCGGUCGUAAAUAAUGGGUACGCUCAAAAGCACGCGAAACCGCAAUCGAUUGUACGAGUUUAGUUUCGUUCCAGUUCUCUACCCGUUCUAUAAAUCCCCAGUUAGGACGGUUGACUUGUGUGGGUUUUUAAACUACCGUUAAACUUCCUCCCCCUUAACGUUCUGACAGUGGCCUGUGGUUGUAAAGUCUUAUUAUUACGUUGAUGCCAUUAAACGUCACAAUAUGUCACGGACGACUGUUUUUCCUCUUUGCCAUCUGCACCAUUGACUCACUGCUAUCAAAAAUAUAUUUUUUUUUCCCUCCGCUUCUUCCUCUUCCCGAUUUUAGACUGGAUAGAACUCUUAUAAUCAAUAAUUCACUGAUGAGUUAAGUAGAUGGUUUAUGUUCUUAAAAUGUGGGAUGUCUUUGACAGAAAUGGUUUUCAAAUAAUCUGAAAAUCUUGGAUAUUCUUGUAAUGAUCACCAAUCUGAAAGUGAGGAGUUCCUACCGACUUUCUUUAAAGUAGUUUUGAUCUAACUUUGAAAAUUAUAACUCUUCCUGCAAAAGAAAAAUACUUCCAAAUAAUAGAUCCAAAAAAUAAUU
rnacentral:lncRNA from 1 species